rnacentral:rRNA from 1 species
UGUAGUCUCGCACAGAUGCAUAUCAAUAAGCGGAGGAAAAGAAACUAACAAGGAUUCCCUUAGUAACGGCGAGUGAAGCGGGAAGAGCUCAAAUUUGAAAUCUUCAAGGUUUUACCUUGACGAAUUGUAGUUUAAAGAAGUGUUUUCUGUUGAAGUUUUGGUAAAAGUUCUUUGGAAUAGGACAUCAUAGAGGGUGAGAAUCCCGUAUUUGACCAUUAUUUUCAGCUGUGUGAUACACUUUCAAAGAGUCGGAUUGUUUGGGAAUGCAGUCCAAAAUGGGUGGUAAAUUUCAUCUAAAGCUAAAUAUUGGCGAGAGACCGAUAGCGAACAAGUACCGUGAGGGAAAGAUGAAAAGAACUUUGAAAAGAGAGUUAAACAGUACGUGAAAUUGUCAAAAGGGAAGCGUUUGACACCAGUGUUGUUUUCUCGAAAAUCAAUUAAAAAGAGUUAGAUUUUGUUGUGUAUUGACCUUAACAGCUUGCAUUUCAAUUUUCUUGCUUUUUUUAAUGCACUUUUCGUUUAACAAGUCAACAUCAGUUUCUUUUGUUGUAAAAAGGUCAUUGGAAGGUGGCUUUCUUUUCGGAGAAAGUGUUUAUAGCCUUUGACUCCUGCAAUCGGAGAGACUGAGGUCUGCAGCGUAGAUCCUUCGGGGUUAGAUACAUUUGUGCUAAGUUAUAGCUUUUUAUAGACAACUUGUUGACUAUGAUUAGUCUUGUAGCUUACUCGCUUAUGCUAUUUUACCUACGCUUAGGAUGUUGAGCGCAUGUCUCUCUCU